GGCCCGCCCUUCAGUAUCAUGAAAAACAAGAACUUUUUGUUUGAAGAUUUAGCAAUACAUUACUAAUACAAGUAAGAGAUGUUAAAAAGCUUCACAUCUAAGGCAUUGACAAUUUCCAGAUUGCACAGCAUUAGUUGUGUCACCUACAGAGCCAGAACUUAAUCAGUGCAAUAUCUCAUGAUCUGAAACUUGAUCUAGCUUCAACAAUGGUUUAGCGUUGUCGUAACUCUGGUUGUACUUUACCUGGGUAGUAUAAGUCAACCAAUUGUAGUAUCAAGCUAUUGGUUGACUUAUACUACACGCGUAAAAUUACAAUCAAGAACCGACCCAUCCAAGUCAGCCAGCAAAAUUUUGGUGCAAUCUUUGAAAUUGGUCUGAAGAAAAAAAAUGCUGCAAUUGAUUGGCUUAUACUACACAGGUAAAGUUAGAAUCUCUGCAAAUGUGAUAUAAUGGUUCUCUUUAUUUAAGAAAAGAAAAUUAAAUUAGUUUUAGUUAUUUGUAUUAACUGAAUUUCAAUUGUCAGAUCGUGGAAUAAGCCACUAUUCCAAAGAAAACGACAGCUGUGUCUCAGUUUCUUGAUUUCAACCGCAGGAACAAGAUAAUCUUUCAUCAUAUCUGUCUACCUAUGUGGUCUGUGGAUCUUUCCAAGUAUUAGCCUUUGAUGAAGAUGUUGUUGAGCUCGACUUACUGAAUGAGCUAGGGGAUAUACAAAGAUUAGCCUUUUCUACUUUCCAGAGGAUGGAUCAGGAGAUUUCUCAGUGAUCAUGAAAUUUUUCCACAAAUCAUAGCAUUGGGCUUUCUAUGGGAAGACAAGUAGAACAUUAA